GACAUAUUUCAAUAUACCAAAAUAGAAAGUAAAAGGGUAGGGUUUUAUAGGGUUUACUUAAGGAUUAAUGAAUAGAAGUUACAUCAAAAGUUCAUACUCAGCAUUCUUUAUGUAUGUGCCUGUACAAAGUUAGGAGCCUGUAAUUCAGUGGAUGUUGUAUUUUUAUGUGUUACAUAUUUGUUUUUCGUUCAUUUUUAUACGACCGCAAAAUUUUUAUCGCAAAAGCGCGAGACAUGGUGAACCAAACUACAUUCCUUCAUCAGCGGC
rnacentral:lncRNA from 1 species